CAAUUUGGCCGAGUGGUUACGGCGAUGGAUUGCUAAGCAUUGAUAUUUCUACAAUUAUCCAUUGCACUCUGUGCGCGUAGGUUCGAACCCUACCAUUG
rnacentral:tRNA from 1 species